AGAACGAACGCUGGCGGCAUGCCUAACACAUGCAAGUCGAACGAGACCUUCGGGUCUAGUGGCGCACGGGUGCGUAACGCGUGGGAAUCUGCCCUUGGGUUCGGGAUAACAGUUGGAAACGACUGCUAAUACCGGAUGAUAUCUUCGGAUCAAAGAUUUAUCGCCCAGGGAUGAGCCCGCGUAGGAUUAGCUUGUUGGUGAGGUAAGAGCUCACCAAGGCGACGAUCCUUAGCUGGUCUGAGAGGAUGAUCAGCCACACUGGGACUGAGACACGGCCCAGACUCCUACGGGAGGCAGCGAGUGGGGGAAUAUUGGACAAUGGGCGAAAGCCUGAUCAGCAAUGCGCGUGAGUGAUGAAGGCCUAGGGUUGUAAAGCUACUUUACCCGGGAUGAAUAAUGACAGUACCGGAGAAAUAACGCCCGGACUAACCUCCGUGCCAGCAGCGAC
rnacentral:rRNA from 1 species